rnacentral:miRNA from 1 species
ACACACACACACACACACACACACACACACACUAUAUAUAUAUAUAUAUAUAUAUAUAUAGUGUGUGUGUGUGUGUGUGUGUGUGUGU